rnacentral:rRNA from 1 species
GAGUUUGAUCCUGGCUCAGAUUGAACGCUGGCGGCAUGCCUAACACAUGCAAGUCGAACGAGGGUAGCAAUACUCUAGUGGCGGACGGGUGAGGAAUACGUAGGAAUCUGCCCUUAAGUGGGGGAUAACCCGGGGAAACCCGGAUUAAUACCGCAUGAUCUCGAAAGAGCAAAGCAGGGGAUCGCAAGACCUUGCGCUUUUGGAGGAGCCUACGUCGGAUUAGCUAGUUGGUGAGGUAAAGGCUCACCAAGGCGACGAUCCGUAACUGGUCUGAGAGGAUGAUCAGUCACACCGGAACUGAGACACGGUCCGGACUCCUACGGGAGGCAGCAGUGGGGAAUAUUGGACAAUGGGCGAAAGCCUGAUCCAGCAAUGCCGCGUGUGUGAAGAAGGCCUUCGGGUUGUAAAGCACUUUAAGUUGGGAAGAAAAAACUUCGUUUAAUACAUGAAGUCUUGACGGUACCGACAGAAUAAGCACCGGCUAACUCUGUGCCAGCAGCCGCGGUAAUACAGAGGGUGCUAGCGUUAAUCGGAUUUACUGGGCGUAAAGCGUGCGUAGGCGGUUUGAUAAGUCGAUUGUGAAAGCCCCGGGCUCAACCUGGGAAUUGCAGUCGAUACUGUCAGACUAGAAAACGGUAGAGGGAGGCGGAACUCCAGGUGUAGCGGUGAAAUGCGUAGAUAUCUGGAAGAACACCGAUGGCGAAGGCAACCUCCUGGGCCUGUUUUGACGCUGAGGCACGAAAGCGUGGGUAGCAAACAGGAUUAGAUACCCUGGUAGUCCACGCCGUAAACGAUGUCAACUAGGUGUUGGGGGAGGAGACUUCCUUAGUACCGCAGCUAACGCGUGAAGUUGACCGCCUGGGGAGUACGGCCGCAAGGUUGAAACUCAAAGGAAUUGACGGGGACCCGCACAAGCGGUGGAUUAUGUGGAUUAAUUCGAUGCAACGCGAAAAACCUUACCUACCCUUGACAUGCCGAGAAUCCCGAAGAGAUUUGGGAGUGCCCGAAAGGGAACUUGGACACAGGUGCUGCAUGGCUGUCGUCAGCUCGUGUCGUGAGAUGUUGGGUUAAGUCCCGCAACGAGCGCAACCCUUGUCAUUAAUUGCCAUCAUUUAGUUGGGCACUUUAAUGAGACUGCCGGUGAUAAACCGGAGGAAGGUGGGGAUGACGUCAAGUCCUCAUGGCCCUUAUGGGUAGGGCUUCACACGUAAUACAAUGGUCGGUACAGAGGGUUGCCAACCCGCGAGGGGGAGCCAAUCUCAGAAAGCCGAUCGUAGUCCGGAUUGUUCUCUGCAUCUCGAGAGCAUGAAGUCGGAAUCGCUAGUAAUCGCGGAUCAGCAUGUCGCGGUGAAUACGUUCCCGGGUCUUGUACACACCGCCCGUCACACCAUGGGAGCGGGUUCUGCCAGAAGUAGUUAGUCUAACCGCAAGGAGGGCGAUUACCACGGCAGGGUUCGUGACUGGGGUGAAGUCGUAACAAGGUAACCGUA